rnacentral:rRNA from 1 species
UGCCCAGUGUACACAUUAUAAAUGGCCGCAGUACCCUGACUGUGCUAAGGUAGCAUAAUCAAUUGGCUUUUAAUUGAAGUCUGGAAUGAAAGAAUAAAUGAAGUUAUUCUCUCUUAAAAGUACUAUUAAAAAGUUAUUCAUUAGGUGAAAAUACCUAAAUUUAAAUAAAAGACGAGAAGACCCUAAGAGUUUUUAAUAAAAAUAAUGUAUAUUAUUUAUUUUUUUGUUGGGGCGACAGUUUAGCAUUUUAAACCUAAUUUUUGUACAAGGCGAUUAUUUUAAGAAAGAAAAAAACUACCUUAGGGAUAACAGCAUAAUUUUUAAAAAAGUUUGUGACCUCGAUGUUGGACUAGGAACUUUAUGGCUAGCAGUCAAAAAAGA